rnacentral:rRNA from 1 species
CCCUUAGAUGUUCUGGGCCGCACGCGCGCUACAAUGAUGAAUUCAACGAGUUUAUAACCUUGGUUGAAAAGCCUGGGUAAUCUUUUGAACUUUCGUCGUGAUGGGGCUAGACCCUUGCAAUUAUUGGUCUCCAACGAGGAAUUCCUAGUAAACGCAAGUCAUCAGCUUGCAUUGAUUACGUCCCUGCCCUUUGUACACACCGCCCGUCGCACCCACCGAUUGAAUGGUCCGGUGAAAUCUUCGGAUUGAGACUUUGAUUUCUUCACGGAAAACGCUGUUUUAAAAAGUUGAUUAAACCUUACCAUUUAGAGGAAGGUGAAGUCGUAACA